rnacentral:rRNA from 1 species
GAUGAACGCUGGCGGCGCGCCUAACACAUGCAAGUCGAACGGUUAAAGCAUCUUCGGAUGUGUAUAAAGUGGCGAACGGCUGAGUAACACGUGGGCAACCUGCCCUUUGCACUGGGAUAGCCUCGGGAAACCGAGGUUAAUACCGGAUACUCCAUAUUUGUCGCAUGGCGAAUAUGGGAAAGCUCCGGCGGCAAAGGAUGGGCCCGCGGCCUGUUAGCUAGUUGGUGGGGUAGUGGCCUACCAAGGCAAUGAUGGGUAGCCGGGUUGAGAGACCGACCGGCCAGAUUGGGACUGAGACACGGCCCAGACUCCUACGGGAGGCAGCAGUGGGGAAUCUUGCACAAUGGGCGAAAGCCUGAUGCAGCGACGCCGCGUGCGGGAUGAAGGCCUUCGGGUUGUAAACCGCUUUCAGCAGGGACGAGGCCGCAAGGUGACGGUACCUGCAGAAGAAGCCCCGGCUAACUAC